UACAGAGGGUGCGAGCGUUAAUCGGAAUCAUUGGGCGUAAAGCGCGUGUAGGCGGCCAGAUAAGUCCGCUGUGAAAUCUCGAGGCUCAACUUCGAGCUGUCGGUGGAAACUGUCUGGCUAGAGUCCGGAAGAGGAGAAUGGAAUUCCUGGUGUAGCGGUGAAAUGCGCAGAUAUCAGGAAGAACACCCGUGGCGAAGGCGGUUCUCUGGGACGGUACUGACGCUGAGACGCGAAAGCGUGGGGAGCGAACAGG
rnacentral:rRNA from 1 species